rnacentral:rRNA from 1 species
GACGAACGCUGGCGGCGUGCUUAACACAUGCAAGUCGAACGGAAAGGCCCUGCUUGCAGGGUACUCGAGUGGCGAACGGGUGAGUAACACGUGGGUGAUCUGCCCUGCACUUCGGGAUAAGCCUGGGAAACUGGGUCUAAUACCGGAUAGGAGCCAUUUUUAGUGUGAUGGUUGGAAAGUUUUUUCGGUGUAGGAUGAGCUCGCGGCCUAUCAGCUUGUUGGUGGGGUAAUGGCCUACCAAGGCGGCGACGGGUAGCCGGCCUGAGAGGGUGGACGGCCACAUUGGGACUGAGAUACGGCCCAGACCCCUACGGGAGGCAGCAGUGGGGAAGAUUGCACAAUGGGCGCAAGCCUGAUGCAGCGACGCCGCGUGGGGGAUGACGGCCUUCGGGUUGUAAACUCCUUUCGCUAGGGACGAAGCUUUUUGUGACGGUACCUAGAUAAGAAGCACCGGCUAACUACGUG